GACGAACCGUGCGAACGUUGUUCGGAUUCACUGGGCUUAAAGGGCGCGUAGGCGGGUUGUCAAGUCAGGGGUGAAAUCUUUCGGCUCAACCGGAAAAGUGCUUCUGAUACUGGCAACCUGGAGGGAGGUAGGGGCAGAUGGAACUUCCGGUGGAGCGGUGAAAUGCGUAGAUAUCAGGAGGAACACCGGUGGCGAAGGCGGGAUCCUGGGCCAGUACUGACGCUGAGGAGCGAAAGCGUGGGGAGCAAACAGG
rnacentral:rRNA from 1 species